rfam:Trichobilharzia regenti genome assembly, scaffold: TRE_scaffold0045567
GUACUGCCGAUGAGUCCCAAACUAGGAUGAAACAGCUGUCCAGUAC